UAUGACCACAUCACAUUGAAACACCGAUUCCUGCACGAUCAUCGAAAUUAAGCAACGUCGAGCCUGGUCAGUACCUAGAUGGGUGACCACUUCGGAAUAUCAGGUGCUAUA